rnacentral:rRNA from 1 species
UACGGAGGGUGCAAGCGUUAUCCGGAUUCACUGGGUUUAAAGGGUGCGUAGGUGGGCAGGUAAGUCAGUGGCGAAAUCUCCGGGCUUAACCCGGGAACUGCCAUUGAUACUAUCAGUCUUGAAUACCGUGGAGGUAAGCGGAAUAUGUCAUGUAGCGGUGAAAUGCUUAGAUAUGACAUAGAACACCAAUUGCGAAGGCAGCUUACUACCCGAAUAUUGACACUGAGGCACGAAAGCGUGGGGAUCAAACAGG